UCCUUGCUGACACACAUGAACUUAGGGGCACUUCUGUUUUCCUGAGGGCUACACCGUUUUCUUUUGAAAGAGUGUGGAUCUGGACCCUCAUUAACUUGUCUGUAGGAAGAGAAAAUUGAAGAGAGAGAGGAAGAGGCUGAGGAGAAGACCUUUACCGGUGCUGUCCUGAGCUGCCAUUGUUGAAGGACAUCCUUCUGAACAACCCAGUCCUGCCAGCUCCAGCUCCAGCUCCAGCUCCAGCUUCACACCAUCCCAGACCAGGCAACAAGGUCCUUUGAGGUCUAUAAUGAAAGAUCUGCAUUCUGAUGACAAUGAGGAGGAAUCAGAUGAAGUGGAGGAUAACGACAAUGACUCUGAAAUGGAGAGGCCUGUAAAUAGAGGAGGCAGCCGAAGUCGCAGAGUUAGCUUAAGUGAUGGCAGCGAUAGUGAAAGCAGUUCUGCUUCUUCACCCCUACAUCACGAACCUCCACCGCCCUUAUUAAAAACCA
rnacentral:sRNA from 1 species